CCUCUGAGCUAUGGGCUCUUCCUCCUCCCGUCAGCAGUGAGAGGCCCUACGUGGAAUUCAGGUCACUGGCGGGGGAGGAAAUGAUGUGAUGUUAUGAGAAGUUGGACUCUCAGCAGGAGUGUUGAAGGACGAGGGGUGUCUACAGGGUCUGAGUGCCAGCUGGGUCCACAUGACUGAAGCUGACUUCCUGCCACAGAUGAAUGAAUCCCUAUGCCAAGGGUAUAGCCGUGGAAUUGGGACUCAGAUGGCAUGGUCCACAUUUCCUUCCCAUCCUCCCCACCUGCCCCACACUCUGCAGGAUGCAAUUCUUAGCCCUGAGAAGUCCUCUCAAUUUGCUGCCUUGAAUCAGAUAGUCCCCGACUUACGAUGGUUUGACUCACAAUUUUCCAACUUGAUGAAAGCAAUAUGCAUUUAGAGGAAACUGUGCUUUGAAAUUUGAAUUUGGACCUUUUCCCCGGCCUGGAGCUAUGCAGUCUGAGCCUCUGGGGAUGCUGGCAGGGCAGCAGCCGCAGGUCCCAGCCAGCAGUGCACUCACGCGGGGCAACGGCCGAUGCGCUUACAGCCAGGCGCACGCAGACCGUCAUUUUCUCUUUAACUCUCAGUACCGUAUUCAAUACGUUCCACCGGAUAGUCAGCGCUUUACUCUCAUAUGGGCUUUGUGUUAGAUGAUUUUGCCCAACUGUAGGCGAAUGUAAGUGUUCUGAGUGCGUUCAUGGU